GGGCGGGUAGCUCAGCUGGUUAGAGCACUGCGUUGACAUCGCAGAGGUCGCAGGUUCGAGCCCUGUCUCGCCCA
rnacentral:tRNA from 1 species